CCUCCUUCCUCUUCAUCCGUCCCUCCCUCACUCCCUCCCCAGGACCUCCCGAGCCAGUGGGGCCGAGGAGGAGGCGGCGCAGGGAGCGGGCACCGGGUGGAGAGGGAGCGGGAGGCGGGGUCCGGCGGCAGCUUCAGGCACCGGGGGCGUCACCGGGGUAGGGCGCAGGGCGCAGGGCGCACGGACGAGAGCCUGGGGAGCAGCCGAACAAAGGCUCCUGGGCCACUAAGGCGGCGGACGUUCGGACUCCAGCUCUCCUCUCCCGGACCAGCAGGCUCUAGCUUCUUGAGCUGUGCAGCCGCCGGCCCUGGGGCGGGGGGCGGGGAAGAGGCGCGAGGAGGAGCCGGGGGCCCCGGGAGCCGGCCCUGGGGCUGGGGGCGGGAGGGGAGCACGUUGCCUCUCUCAGCUGGAGGCGCCUCGGCGGAGCCGGAAAAUGCGCCCGAAGGAGUCGGGGGCUUGCAGCACCUGGUGCCUCCUACUGCUGUUGCAGCUGGGCUGCCGGAGCGCAGCGCAGCUGCGGAGACAGGGCUACUUGAUUGCGGCCCCUUCUGUGUUCCGUUCAGGAGUAGAGGAGGUUAUUAGUGUGACCAUCUUUAACUCGGUGAAGGAAACCACUGUGCAGAUUCAGCUAGUGGUCAAAGGAGAGACCGUAGCUCGGGGCCAUGGAACCAUUCUUGGUAAGUGGACCUUCUGGCUGACCAAACCCACUUAGUAGAGGUGAUGACGUGACAUCAGAAGUUUGGAUUUUUGCUUUCUCAAGACAAAUCACUGGUCUUUCUGGAUUUUGCUGGCUUGAAUCUCUUAUUGUAGUUAUUUACUAGCUAAUAGGCAGAUGAUUCCAAACAACAUCUCAGUAUUUCUGCAUUUUCCCCAACACACAGAGACCUGUUAUUCAGGAAACCUGUAGUCUAGUCUUGGCCCUGUCACUGACUAGCUGAAUGAUCUUGGACAAGUCUUUUACCCAUGCUGGAAAAUCGAAAACAGAUCAGAUGCCAUGAUGGUAGUGGCAGAGGCAGUACUUAGAUUGGAACCUGAGUUUUCUUCAUUCCAAGUCCAAAUUUUGGGUUUUUUGUUUCUAUUGGUAAUGCACUUACUGUGCUAGGGAAUAAGGGGGAAAGGUUGACAGCUCUCUAUCCUCAGGGAUUUCAUAGGCUAGUAGGAGGAAAUAUUAUAUAAGGACAGGAAAGGUUUGAUUACAAUGCAGGAGAUAAAUAACUCUAGGAGAUAUGAUAAGGCACUGUGCCAUGUAUCGUCAGUAAAUACUCUGGGUUUUGAAGGGAAAGAGAGAGAGAGAGAGAACCAUGUCUUAAAUGAGUCUGCCAUAGCUUUUUUGUUUAUUUAUUUAAACCCUUCUAUAUCUAAGUAUCAGUUAGGUAAUUGGGGUUAAGCAACUUGCCCAGGAAGUAUCUGAGGUCAAAUUUGAAUCCAGAACCUCCUGUCUCCAGGACUGGAUCUCUAUCCACUGAGUCAUCUAGCUGCCCCUGCCACAGCUUUUUGAAAAAAGAUGCAUUUACUGUAAGGAUUCUCUCUGCUCCCUGAUUCUGGUGCUUUGGCCUUUGAUAGGAAGU
rnacentral:lncRNA from 1 species